rnacentral:lncRNA from 1 species
UGGGAAGGAAGGAGGGAAUUCAAAUGCCAGGGAAUUGUUCAGUUUCGCUUUUAAAGAUGUUAACACUCAUUUAUACAUCUGCAAGACACUUUCCUUAAAGAAAAGUUCUAUGAGUGUGGGUCUGGUUGCAUGAAUAAGGAUAAAAUUACUUUUUUAGACGAUGUUUCCCACAUAUAAUUCAGAGACCCCUGAAAUUAGGUAUCCCUCUUGUAGAUGUCCUUGAGAUGCUGCUGGACCUGGGAAAGAGGAAACUGGGAUAUGGGUCUAUGCCAAAAGGUGCUUCUAGUUAUAGGACAGAGAGGAAAGGGGCAGAGGGAGAAAAACCUGAAGUCUGAGAAUCUGGAUUGCAGAAGACUACCGAGGUCGUGGGAGAAGGGAGAGAAAACAAGGAUGAAAACCGAAAGGGGAAGAGGCAUGAAAUGUUGUCAAAUGCCAAAAGGCAUUUGGAGAGAAGUUGGGAAUUGCAUUAAGAAAACCACUGCAAAUCUCAUUUCAGACCAUUUAGAGAUAUGCCCCCUGGGAACUGCGAGCUCAGGCUGUUUAGCAUCAAACAAAUGGAUCCACUCCAUCCCUACCCUAAUUAAAUAAAUCAUUCAGUAAUUCCACUGGGUUAAAGAACCAAAAUAAUAAAAACCUUCAGGGCCUACUCUUGCCAAAUAUGUCAGGGAUCGUGUGUGUGUGUGUGUGUGUGUGUGUGUGUGUGUGUGUGUGUGUGUGUGUGUUCUGAGACACCACUACUGUUAAAUAGGCAGAGCUAAGACUUAGGGGACUGGCAGAUUAUUGCAAAAAGGGCACGGGGCAGAGGGACUAUGUUGUGAGCCUGCGAAAGAAGUUUGUGUGGGGACUGUGGGCAGUGAAUGCGUUGGGAACAAUAUGGAAAACUGGGAGCUGCCUUGGAAUCUACAGGGCCGGGCUGAAGAAAAGAAGAAUGGUAUUCAUGCAGUUCCCAUUUUACAGAUGAAAACAAGAGGACUUUUUCUGUGAAGUCAAGAAAGUGGUUACAAUGGUACUUUCAGCCUGUCCGAAUUAUGUAUUGCCCCUCCCCUUUUUAUUAAUAACAUUGAAGUGUGAUGGGACAACCACUGAAGCCGUCUGUUGAAACCUGCUGGGACUUUUUAGCCAUUCUCUUCAACAUAAAGAAUGGGUGUUUUUGGAGGGGGUGAGAGGAAUGGGGAAAUGUUGUCAAAGAGUACAAUGUUUUAGUUGAGACAGGAGGAAUAUAUUUUGUUGAGAUCUACAGCACAGCAUGGUGACUGUAGUUAACAAUGAAGUAUUGUGUAUUUCAAAAUUGCUAAGACAAUAAAUUUCAAAUGUUCUCACCACAAAAAAGAUAGGUUUUGAGGUGAUGAAUCUAUUAAUUCUCUGGAUUUAAUUAUUCCACAAUGUAUACAUAUAUCAUAACAUCACAUCAUACCUCCGUAAAUACAUACAAUUUUAAUUUGUCAAUUAACAUUUUUUUAAAAGAAUAGUG